rnacentral:tRNA from 1 species
GCCGAGGUCGCCUAGUCCGGUAGGGCGCCAGCCUGGAGAGCUGGUGGCCGCAAGGCCUCGGGA